UGGCAGUGUGGUUAGCUGGUUGUUAAU
rnacentral:sRNA from 1 species